GUCCAGCCUUCAGCCCGGUUCGGUUUCUAGGUUGGACCCAGGGCAACUCCAGCCGUUUCCAGACCCGGUUUCGGAAAAGAAAUGAUCAAAUAAAGCCUCGAAAGCUCCUGAGGUAAAAGCCGCAGAGGAUCUGAGCGGGACGGCCCAGCCCCUCCGGAGGCAGCGAGCGCGUGGAGGCGGUGGCUCCGGCUCAGGAAAGAGAGAAGCUAACAAGAAAAGCCACUCUUCUUGUUUCCAUCUCCACAGUGGAAGAAAUGCCCUCUUUUUUAGUUAAGAAAACAGAGAGUCAAAAGAAGAUGGGAGACCUCUGCACACUCAAUCAGGAAAUUCCUGGAAUACCAGACUGUUUCCAUCAAUGGUAGGUCAUUGCUUUUAUCAGCUUGUAUUGCUGAAAUGCAGUAAGCACUGAUUACACAAGCACUAAAUGCCAAGCAAUGCUCAUAAAUCUUGGUAGGAACAUGAGCUUUAGAGUUGAGGUCUCGGAUUUUCUUUUUACCUUGGUACUGAGUCAAAAAGAAAGAUUUUAGAAUCAGGGUCUUCUUCCACCCCUAAUAAAAUGCUCUCUUCACUCUCUUUGUGGAGUAUU
rnacentral:lncRNA from 1 species